GCGUGGUGAUUCCGUCGUGUGUCCUGUGGUGGUGGUUCUGCUACAUGUAGCUUCCAUUUUCAAGGUCGUUUUGUGAUCCAAGAAGUCAGCCAAAACCCCAGUUACCAAACAGGGGAGGAUGGAGGAAGGAAAACGGCAACUUCAAGGAUGUCCCACACAGUUCUUUGGCUAAUGAAACUUCAUUACCUGGAUUUUAGACUCUUGGUUACCAGAACGGGAAAAGAAAUGAGUUGACUAUAAUUCUAACUCAAGAAAGA
rnacentral:lncRNA from 1 species